GACGAACGCUGGCGGCGUGCCUAAUACAUGCCAGUAGAACGCUGAAGCGAGGAGCUUACUCUUCUUGGAUGAGUUGCGAACGGGUGAGUAACGCGUAGGUAACCUGCCUUGUAGCGGGGGAUAACUAUUGGAAACGAUAGCUAAUACCGCAUAACAAUGGAUGACACAUGUCAUUUAUUUGAAAGGGGCAAUUGCUCCACUACAAGAUGGACCUGCGUUGUAUUAGCUAGUAGGUGAGGUAAUGGCUCACCUAGGCGACGAUACGUAGCCGACCUGAGAGGGUGAUCGGCCACACUGGGACUGAGACACGGCCCAGACUCCUACGGGAGGCAGCAGUAGGGAAUCUUCGGCAAUGGGGGCAACGCUGACCGAGCAACGCCGCGUGAGGGAAGAAGGUUUUCGGAUCGGAAAGCUCUGUUGUAAGGCAAGAACGGGGGUGAGGGUGGAAAGUUCACACUGUGACGGUAGCUUACGAGAAAGGGACGGCUAACUACGUG
rnacentral:rRNA from 1 species